AUGUGACAUAAUUUUUCUCUUUUUUUUGUGUAGAUCCUUAUAGUAGGUAAUAAAAAGGGUAACAUUAUAGCCUUUCCUUUUCCUAAAAUAUUGGUACUGCAUGCCAGUGGUCUGAUGCAAGAGAAGAUGCUUCCAUGUGAUUGUUUCAAAGGGCUCAUGGCAUUUCUAGUGUCACAAGUGUUCAUAUAAAAGAUUUGAUUUCUGAUCAUACUGAAAUUCGCACUUAAUUUCCAGAACAAUAUUAUUAUUCAUAUUAUCAAAUUCAUGCGUAGUCUGAUAUAUGCUCCUCAUCCUUACAUGUUUUAGACUGGGGGAUGGUUGCAUUUGCUUUUUUUCAAGUAUGAAAGACAUGUGCAAAAUAUCGUUUUUUUUAAUGAGGCAAGUAAAAGAAAUGGGCACCUUUCAAUCAAUCUACACUAAUCUUGCAUCUGAGAGCCAAUUGAGUAGUUCCUAUACGGCUAUGCAUUAGGUUUUACCUCCACAGAUUUUAUCAUUAGGGACCCUGGAGAAUGAAACGAAGGUAAUAGAACACAUGUAGCAUAUGAAUUGGCCUUUCAGAAUCAACAGUUCAGCUAAUCAGUAGUUUCAAACUUUUAUAUCUUCAUUACAGAUGGCUCAAGUGUCCUGUGGAGGCUGGCAGAGACUUUUUUAUAUUUUCUUAUUAUCUUGGGAAAAUCCACGAAUAUCAGAACUGUUUUGCAUUUCUAAAGCUGCCCUCGGCUGCUCAAUGCUGGACGAGUGGCCAGUCAACUCCGACCCCUCCUGUUCCCAUUGUGCCAACCUAGCACCAGGACCUAGUGACUGCCACUUUUUGGCUGCAUACACAUUGAAUGCCGAACUUGCCUUACUUGGAUGGAGUCGUUCGAUCCAUUAGAGUUAUGUUUUUGCAGAAUCUAUACAGGUGUCUUCAACCUUAAUGUCUUACACGUGCUGUACGGAUUAGGACAAAUUCCACCUAUAGGUCAGUCAUACAAGUUUGGUGAGAAAAAUAGGCGGCUUAGUGGCUGAGAGGAUGGAGGAGAUUGGUCGUGGAAGAAUGAGGCAGGUAAGUGUAGUGGAGGACGCACGGCAGCCCUCCCUCAACCAGAAAUCAGCCACACGAGCAGGCGACAUGAUAUAGUGGACAAGCAGAGAACGCUUGGAUGUUUGUGACAUCACAACUUCCUUGUGAGAAUUAUUCAUGUGUCCGGCUCCCUCAUCCAGAGAGGUGUCCUCAUUGUGACCAAGCUGUGGAAUUCAUAAACCAUCUUGUGCUUUCUUGCCUCUUUGCUAGAGAUGUUCGGUUCAGGUUAUUCCAAAGAGUACCUAUAGAUUCUUUGUGACAAUGAUAAUGAACCAAAUGGUACUCUCUGUGUCGUAAAUAUUGCAAGAACAUUGUCUC